GGCCAAGGACAAGGGAGGAUAAAAUAUGGAUGAGAAGCUACAAACCAAAAGGAAUAGAGGAGCAAUGGGGAACAAGUGUAAACACAGUCAAAUAACACCCAAACCCUCUAAUUCAAUCCUCUUCUUGACUCCAUUAUUCACACAAUUUUUUUUUCUUAUUUUUCUGUAUUUUUUUUCUUUUUUUUUCAUCUUGUCUCUUUUCUGAUCUCUCCU
rnacentral:lncRNA from 1 species